GACGUCAUUACAAACAUCAUGAGAAGAUCUACAAGGGAUGUAAGGCUUACAUCUGCCUCUGUGGCGAUUGGAAACAAACGGGAGAGGGUGAUCCAAAGUGUCCAUCGCCAGAAGGGACGGAAGACAGUGAAGCAUCUGACGAGGGAGGAAGGCUCAUCGUGCAAGUUGCACAACAAGUAAAUCAGCCUUGAAAUUCACAGUGUGUUUGUUGAGUGGAAACCAGGCGCUGGUUAACGCUGCGGCUAUGUUUUACCGACCUGGAUUCCAAUGAUUCAUUGUUUUCUUCUUUAAAACUUGACGAAAUAAUUGUGCAUUCCACGUUGCAUACAGCAUUCCCUCACCAACCGUUCUUCAAAGAUAUUGCAGUGUGAUAGUGACAUGAGAAACCCCUGGUCAAUAAUAAGAGAGUAAGGACAGAAAAGAGAAACAACACUGACAAAGGAAACAAUAUUGAAACAUGAGACCGUAAAACAUUGAUGACAGAAGCAACGUAACAAUACAACACUACAUGGCUAUAUUUCAUUUCAAUUUUGCUUUCUUUUUAAUUUUACAGAUGAAUAGCUUUCAGACUGAAAGGAUAUUAAUCUAUAAAAGAAAAGAAAAAUCCUCUCAAAAAGUAGGUAGGCAAAAUGUCACAUAAAUACUUUCCAUGGUUACUCACCAUCGCAACUGACGAGGAAGUUCCUGUA